CCGGGCGCUGCGGGGCGGCUGCCGGGCGCGCCGGAAGCGUGGCGCUGUGUGGCGGAGGCGGUGUUAACUGCUGCUGCGCCGGGUGUCCGCCUGGGCCGGCGGUCUUGCAAAAGCUCGGGGGAGGGUGUCUUUUUCUUUCUCUUUCUCCUCCCUUUUUCUUUCUUUCUCUUCCUCCUCCCUUUUUCUUUCUUUCUCUUCCUCCUCCCUUUUUCUUUCUUUCUCUUCCUCCUCCCUUUUUCUUUCUUUCUCUUUCUCCUCCCUUUUUCUUUCUUUUUCUUUCUCCUCCCUUUUUCUUUCUUUCUCUUUCUCCUCCUCAACUAAAGCUCUUUGAAGUGUCCAAUAACAUCUUCAGUGCGCUGCUUUUACGAUUUCUGGCUCCAAGCCUUUAAGCACGCACUUCAGAGGCGCGCAGGUGGGCCGGGCGGGCGAGCUCCCCUCCCGUGGGACACGCUGGGCGCGUUUGGGGACGGGCGCGCGGGACCCAGAGCCCCGCGUGAGGUGAGGCUGGAGACCGCACGGCAGCAGGUCUGGGAGCUGGGUCUGGAAGCCUUGAUUUUCAGCCUAACCAUGGCACACGUUGUCCUUUACGAGGCCCUGUUGCAGUGCAGCGGCACCAGACAGCGGAAAGUGACCGUUCAGCRCCGUUUUGACGUUCUUUAAGUGAAGUCUGAAAGGAAAGAUGCCUGUUGAAGUCCGCAGGAAUUCAGCACAAGUCGAGGCCGCACAAUUUGGCUUUAACACUUGGGAAAGAGGUACGUUAGUUCCCUAUUCCCUUGAAGGAACUGCUCGUCAUUAUUCUGCUUGCAGGAAGCUGGUGAUUACACUCCUUGGGGAAGCAAGCCAGGUUUCACAAAGAACUGUUGAAAUUAAGCCAAGAUUUUAA
rnacentral:lncRNA from 1 species